UUUUUUUCUUUUAAAAUUAAAAUUGUAACAAGGUUUCCGAGGGAACCCUCGGAAGGAUCAUUACCGAAGUGCGGGCCCUUCGCGGCCCAACCUUCCCACCCUUCUUUAUUAUACACCUGUUUGCUUUGGGCGGGCCCACCGGGGCCACCUUGGUCGCCGGGGGACGUACGUCCCCGGGUCCGCGCCCGCCGAAAGCGCUCUGUGAACCCCUGAUGAAGAAGGGCUGUCUGAGUACCCAUGAAAAUUGUCAAAACUUUCAACAAUGGAUCUCUUGGUUCCGGGCAUCGAUGAAGAACGCAGCGAAAUGCGAUAAGUAAUGUGAAUUGCAGAAUUCCGUGAAUCAUCGAAUCUUUGAAACGCACAUUGCGCCCCCUGGCAUUCCGGGGGGCAUGCCUGUCCGAGCGUCAUUUCUGCCCUCAAGCACGGCUUGUGUGUUGGGUGCGGUCCUCCCGGGGACCUGCCCGAAAGGCAGCGGCGACGUCCGUCUGGUCCUCGAGCGUAUGGGGCUCUGUCACUCGCUCGGGAAGGACCUGCGGGGGUUGGUCACCACCACAGUUUUACCACGGUUGACCUCGGAUCAGGUAGGAGUUACCCGCUGAACUUAAGCAUAUCAAUAAGCGGAGGAAAAGAAACCAACCGGGGAUUGCCUCAGUAACGGCGAGUGAAGCGGCAAGAGCUCAAAUUUGAAAUCUGGCCCCUUUGGGGUCCGAGUUGUAAUUUGCAGAGGAUGCUUCGGGUGCGGUCCCCAUCUAAGUGCCCUGGAACGGGCCGUCAUAGAGGGUGAGAAUCCCGUCUGGGAUGGGCGGCCGCGCCCGUGUGAAGCUCCUUCGACGAGUCGAGUUGUUUGGGAAUGCAGCUCUAAGCGGGUGGUAAAUUUCAUCUAAAGCUAAAUACUGGCCGGAGACCGAUAGCGCACAAGUAGAGUGAUCGAAAGAUGAAAAGCACUUUGAAAAAGAGAGUUAAACAGCACGUGAAAUUGUUGAAAGGGGAAAGCGUUGUCCACCAGACUCGCCCGGGGGGGUUUCAGCCGGCACGUGUGCCGGUGUAACUCCUCUCCGGGCGGGCCAGCAUUCGGUUUGGGGCGGCUGGUGAAAGGCCCCGGGAAUGUAGCACCCUUUCGGGGGGCCUUUAUAGCCCGGGGUGCCAUACAGCCAGCCUGGACCGAGGCCCGCGCUUCGGCAGAUGCGCAAUGAAUGUGGGCAACGCCCCUGUAAAAAACCAGAAAAA
rnacentral:rRNA from 1 species